GGUGUAAUCUAGACUGUGGUUAGGUGUAAUCUAGACCGUGGUUAGGUGUAAUCUAGACUGUGGUUAGGUGUAAUCUAGACCGUGGUUAGGUGUAAUGUAGACUGUGGUUAGGUGUAAUCUAGACUGUGGUUAGGUGUAAUCUAGACCGUGG